rnacentral:tRNA from 1 species
GGGCCUAUAGCUCAGACGGUUAGAGCGCACGCCUGAUAAGCGUGAGGUCAGUGGUUCAACUCCACUUAGGCCCACCA